CGAGUGGCGACUGUGCUGAGUGUGAGAUGAGCUCUCCCUUGUGCGUGUGUGUGUGUGUGUCAAUUAACCAUUAUUUAAACGUAAUUUCCAGCGUAACCUCCUGAAGGCAACUCCCUUUACUGCUGUCAGAAGGUGCACCAUGGCUUGCCACAAUGUCACAAUGGGUCCUUGGAGAGCCGCACAAAUACUCCACUCACCUAGUUCCAGAGGGAGAGGAUCACCAGCCACCACCGGCCAUACUAAAGGAAGUGGCUCUAUGUAGG
rnacentral:lncRNA from 1 species